rnacentral:rRNA from 1 species
UACGUAGGUGACAAGCGUUGUCCGGAUUUACUGGGCGUAAAGAGCGCGCAGGCGGUCGUUCAAGUCGAGUGUGAAAGCCCCCGGCUCAACUGGGGAGGGUCAUUCGAUACUGAUCGACUCGAAGGCAGGAGAGGGUAGUGGAAUUCCCGGUGUAGUGGUGAAAUGCGUAGAUAUCUGGAGGAACACCGGUGGCGAAGGCGGCAUUCUGGACUGUAACUGACACUGAUGAACGAAAGCCAGGGGAGCAAACGGG